CGCGUCGGUGCCGUGUUCUGUGAAUGACUCGGCUGGCGCCGGACUGGCGGGCGCCCGUCGGUCUGUCAUGGAACACGAGACCGGCCCCAG
rnacentral:pre_miRNA from 1 species